CAAUAGCGUAUAUUUAAGUUGUUGCAGUUAAAAAGCUCGUAGUUGGAUUUCGGAUGGGACUUGCCGGUCCGUCGUUUCGAUGUGCACUGGUCAGUCCUAUCUUGUUGUCGGGGACUAGCUCCUGGGCUUCACUGUCCGGGACUAGGAGCUGACGAGGUUACUUUGAGUAAAUUAGAGUGUUCAAAGCAAGCCUACGCUCUGAAUACAUUAGCAUGGAAUAACACGAUAGGACUCUGGCUUAUCUUGUUGGUCUGUGAGACCAGAGUAAUGAUUAAGAGGGACAGUCGGGGGCAUUCGUAUUUCAUUGUCAGAGGUGAAAUUCUUGGAUUUAUGAAAGACGAACUUCUGCGAAAGCAUUUGUCAAGGAUGUUUUCAUUAA
rnacentral:rRNA from 1 species